rnacentral:rRNA from 1 species
AACGCUAGCUACAGGCUUAACACAUGCAAGUCGAGGGGCAGCAUGGUCUUAGCUUGCUAAGGCCGAUGGCGACCGGCGCACGGGUGAGUAACACGUAUCCAACCUGCCGUCUACUCUUGGACAGCCUUCUGAAAGGAAGAUUAAUACAAGAUGGCAUCAUGAGUCCGCAUGUUCACAUGAUUAAAGGUAUUCCGGUAGACGAUGGGGAUGCGUUCCAUUAGAUAGUUGGCGGGGUAACGGCCCACCAAGGCGACGAUCAGUAGGGGUUCUGAGAGGAAGGUCCCCCACAUUGGAACUGAGACACGGUCCAAACUCCUACGGGAGGCAGCAGUGAGGAAUAUUGGUCAAUGGGCGAGAGCCUGAACCAGCCAAGUAGCGUGCAGGAUGACGGCCCUAUGGGUUGUAAACUGCUUUUAUAAGGGAAUAAAGUGAGCCUCGUGAGGCUUUUUGCAUGUACCUUAUGAAUAAGGACCGGCUAAUUCCGUGCCAGCAGCCGCGGUAAUACGGAAGGUCCGGGCGUUAUCCGGAUUUAUUGGGUUUAAAGGGAGCGUAGGCCGGAGAUUAAGCGUGUUGUGAAAUGUAGAUGCUCAACAUCUGCACUGCAGCGCGAACUGGUUUCCUUGAGUACGCACAAAGUGGGCGGAAUUCGUGGUGUAGCGGUGAAAUGCUUAGAUAUCACGAAGAACUCCGAUUG